AUCAGCGCCCCAAUUUCUAGGGUUUCCUGCAAUCUUGAAGAAUCGAGAAGGAUUCAUGGUGGGACACGGUCAUGCGGUGCCGUUGGAGGUGGUGGGCACGGUGCUGGAGAUGGCUGACAUGGCUUGGACCGCCCUGGAGCACCGUCGCGAGCGGCAGCACGAGGCCGCCGAGGACCAGGAGUUGGCGCAGCUGCGAGCUGAGAACCUUCGUCUGAGAGGGCUUUUUGGAGGAGAAUCUCACUCUUCUUCAAGGCCUCUGCCAGGCUCCAUCCAUCUCUCGGGAUUGUCCUCCUGAUCUAUAUUCACGGCUUGUAGCUGUAGUGGAUUCUCCAGACUUCCAUUCUAAACUGGAAUCACUUCAUGAGGAAUCAUUGAAUGCAAAAGGUGGCAGCUUCCCAUUUCGAGAAGCCUCAGGUGCAGAUUUGAAGGCGAUGGAAGUACUAAUUCAUGUUGGUCAUGAUGAACCUAGUUGGUGGGUGUGGGUUACAAACGAUAUGGUUCCAAAUAAUUUGGAAGAAGUGAGCGAGAUAGAUAAAGAAAAUUAUGUGAUUGUUAGUGAAGAUAGUGUGGUUGAUGGCAUUGCUAAUUUCAUGGCUAGAUGCAUCAUUUCUAAUCCCAAAUCUCAGAUCCAUAAUCAGAG